rnacentral:lncRNA from 1 species
CGCGGGGUGGCCCCGUGCAGCAGCCGAAGGUGGCCAGGACCUCGGAGCCGCCCAGCCGGUCGAUGGUGACGGGGCGCCCYGGGAACACGGGCGCGAUGGUGUCGUUGGUCGGGUUGCUCAGGAAGAGGUAGGGACCGGGGUCAUCCGCGGGCGGCUCCGGCGCCGGCUCCGUCCCGGCGCCGGCGCUCAGGGACCGCUCGUCCUCGGCGCGCUGCAGGGAGCUGCGCAGCGUCUCCAUGUCCACCAGCUCGAUGCUGCGCUGGGAGCAGGAGAGCGCGGCCGGCUCUGCCUCGCUCACCGGGGAGUCCCGCAAGCCGGGCUCCCCGUCCAGCGCCUCGCUCAGCAGCUCGGGCUCCAGGUCGGAGGCCGGCGAGAUGGUGUCGCAGAGCGAGUGGGUCUGCUGGAAGCACUCGUCCGGGCACUUGAUGGGGUAGGAGCCCUCCGAGAUCAUCUUGUUGACGAGGUUGCUGAGCAGCCAAGGCGAGUCCGAGUCCUCGCUGAGGUCGGGCUCCGACUCCGAGUCGGAGUCGUACUCGCUGUUGUCCUCGUCGUCUGCCUCRGGCAUGAGCUUGGGCCCCACGGGCAGGUAGAAGGAGCGCCGGAUGCUCUCCAAGCUGUGGUCCGGGUCGAUCUUCAGGUCCAGGGGGCUGGACGCAGACACCUCCGUCUGGUCCACGGGCGCGGAGGAGUCCUCCGGGUUCAGGCUGUCGUAGUAACCCUCCAUCUUGAGCUCCGCCAGGCUCUCCCUCCUCACCACGCCGCUCUCCGGGAGCUCCGUCUCCAGGGUCUCCUCCUCCUCCUCCUUGCCCUUGUCCAGCAGCAGGGAGUCCUUGAUGCCCAUGACGCCCGGCGCCUCCAGCUCCGUCUCCAGCUCGGCCUCCGAGGUGGGGGAGCUGGCCUCCUCGAUGGAGUUGGUGAGGUGGGAGGACCUGCCGCUGCUGCUGUCGCUGCUCAGGUCGAGCUCCGUCUCCGAGAUGGAGGAGAUCAUGUUGCUGACCAGGCGCCCRGAGGCGAAAGCCGCCUCGAUCUCCCCCUCCACGUCCGAGUCGGAGCCGGGCGAGCUGAGGUCUUCGCUGUGCCGGCUGCAGGGCAGGAAGGGCUUGGAGUUCCUGCUGGUGAGGUCGGCCUCGAUGCCGGGGUCCGAGGAGGGCGAGGUGGUCUCCGAGGAGCCCGAGGGGCG